GCGAGGAAUUUUCCGCAAUGGGCGAAAGCCUGACGGAGCAACGCCGCGUGGGGGAAGAAGGCCUUCGGGUUGUAAACCCCUGUUGCGAGGGAAGAAGAUCUGACGGUACCUCGCGAGGAAGCCACGGCUAACUACGUGCCAGCAGCCGCGGUAAUACGUAGGUGGCAAGCGUUGUCCGGAUUUACUGGGCGUAAAGCGCGCGCAGGCGGGCUGGUCAGUCUGGGGUGAAAUCUCACGGCUCAACCGUGAGAGGUCCCUGGAUACUGCUAGCCUUGAGGGGCUCAGAGGAGAGUGGAAUUCCGGGUGUAGUGGUGGAAUGCGUAGAUAUCCGGAGGAACACCAGUGGCGAAAGCGGCUCUCUGGGGGCAACCUGACGCUGAGGCGCGAAAGCGUGGGGAGCGAACCGGAUUAGAAACCCGGGUAGUCC
rnacentral:rRNA from 1 species